rnacentral:rRNA from 1 species
AGCGAACGCUGGCGGCAGGCUUAACACAUGCAAGUCGAGCGGGCAUAGCAAUAUGUCAGCGGCAGACGGGUGAGUAACGCGUGGGAACGUACCUUUUGGUUCGGAACAACUGAGGGAAACUUCAGCUAAUACCGGAUAAGCCCUUACGGGGAAAGAUUUAUCGCCGAAAGAUCGGCCCGCGUCUGAUUAGCUAGUUGGUGAGGUAAUGGCUCACCAAGGCAACGAUAAGUAGCUGGUCUGAGAGGAUGAUCAGCCACAUUGGGACUGAGACACGGCCCAAACUCCUACGGGAGGCAGCAGUGGGGAAUAUUGGACAAUGGGCGCAAGCCUGAUCCAGCCAUGCCGCGUGAGUGAUGAAGGCCCUAGGGUUGUAAAGCUCUUUUGUGCGGGAAGAUAAUGACGGUACCGCAAGAAUAAGCCCCGGCUAACUUCGUGCCAGCCGCCGCAGUAA